UGGUGGAGAAGAGAGUUAAAUUAAGAGUUUUUAGCUACGGAUAAAUGAUGAGCGAGACUAUAAAUCUUAACGAAUUCAUGGCAAAAGAUGUUAAUGCACGGAAGUUUCGGUCAUUCGAUCCAAUUAGCCAAGUAGUCAAAUCUGGUAUCGAAUGAAACGUUUAGGAACCGAAUGAUCAUAUUAUUAUCCAAUCUAAUACCUAGGUCAGCCGAUUCAGGGACGUGAUCGUAUCGUAAACUAACAAUAGACACCACUUUUUGGUCUUUGUUCCUUUUUUUUAUUUGAAAAUUUUUGUUCUUCGUUUUGAGCCUCAUCAACGCUUGGAGGUUUCUACCGCACAUCAAGAAUUGAAGUUCUCAGUGAUCGUAGUAGUCAGGUACGAGGAGCAGCAUUUGAUUAGUUAUAAAUACACAACAUUCUAACCAUAACUGCAUCGUCGUCCCAUUUCUUGACCCAUUUUUAUGUUUUUUUUUGUCCAAACAAAAGCUUAACCGUACGGACGGGGUACUGUGGUGUGGAAAAACCGGAAGCCGGCUGUCGUUUGCCAUUAUGCGGCACACGACGUUUUCGGGGCGCACGUUCGAUUUCACGGUCCGUUUAGUUCACGUUCAGCUUUAAACCCAGCGACUGCUGCUGCAGCAACACCUGCCUGCAGUCGAUGAUUUAUUACGGUCAAUUUCACCUGCUGUCGCCGCUACUGCCUUAGUGAGGAGUUACAGAAUUAUUACACAGAACGAAGCAUAAUAUCGCACCAACCCUAGUGCGCGGACAUGCCCCCAGCCAAUGCCUAGCUGCGCCAAAAAAAAACACGAAAUGAACAAAAGCUCACUGCGAAUUGCAAAACCGUGUCUUAAGGAAGGGGAAGGUGGCCGAAGGUGGCAAUCAUAUACGCGGCUACAUUUUGACGUAGCGCCACAAGAGUACAAGAGUUGGAAGCUUUCGUAAGGCACAGUUGAGCAGCACCCCAGGCACGUCCGUUCCGUGGCGUGCGAGGGCUCUGCUGUUGGUGGAUCGUUUUUUUUCUUCUUCUGUGCAAUAAAAAAACUGACACUUUUCAUAGCUUUUUAUAACGUCUGAAAAAGGCUUUACGCUUUGUUCAUAAUGGAUUUUGGUUCGCUGAGCAAAAUUUUAAUGCUCCACACGGUGUUAUCGUGGCGUUUUGGCCCGAAUUCCUCCUACUCCUGCAGCAGACAUCACGCAUCUCGACUGUAUGGAUGAAACGCGGCCAUCUUUAACAAACCAUUGCAAAUGAAUGUAAUACUCAUCCGUUUGUUGGCAAUGGCGCUGUUAAAUUAUGUGUUAUCUAAACGAUUCAUUUGUCUGCCAUCACUCUACAUAAAUGCUACAGCUGUGUAACUAACUCCCUGGCUCGGGCUACAUUAUGCUACUGCAAAAAUAACCUCAAAAUUUGAACCUCCAGCACCGUGUCCAACUGUACGAAAUAUCGCCAUGAAGGUCACACACGACUGGAAAGAUGUCCAACCAGUAUCCAUGCUGGUUUUGCUAUACCAUUUCAGCAGGCAUGCCGAAUGUGGUGCAGAACGGAGUCGGUAGAAUGUCAUGUGGGUCAUUUGGUGGCUGCCUCCAUUGCAAGGUCACGGUACGGCUAAAGCUCAUUUGGCAAAGGUCCAAUGAAAUAGGAAACGAAGAUAUGAAUGUGUGUACAUUUAUUCGAGUCGUACGUAUGACUAGCAAUAGUGAAGCACCCUCUGGUAAGGACGCAAAGAAUGGUAAACAUUCUGGUAAGGUAUAAAAUGCUUAGUAAACACUGUUUAGUGCAAACGCUGGUACAGAAAGAAAUGUAUCACCAAGGCAACGGAAUCCCUUUGUGCGAAUAAAUGUCAUCCAAACGAGCGGAAAAGCUCAAAUGAAGA